GCCUCAGGAUUUAGGUUUUGCGGUGGUUACAAGAUUUUGAUAUUAUCUUUAGGUCUGAUUCGUAAUCAGUUGGUCGUGGGUUCAAAUCCCAUCUUCGGCU
rnacentral:tRNA from 1 species